GACGAACGCUGGCGGCGUGCUUAACACAUGCAAGUCGAACGGAAAGGCCCUGCUUUUGUGGGGUGCUCGAGUGGCGAACGGGUGAGUAACACGUGAGUAACCUGCCCUUGACUUUGGGAUAACUUCAGGAAACUGGGGCUAAUACCGGAUAGGAGCUCCUGCUGCAUGGUGGGGGUUGGAAAGUUUCGGCGGUUGGGGAUGGACUCGCGGCUUAUCAGCUUGUUGGUGGGGUAGUGGCUUACCAAGGCUUUGACGGGUAGCCGGCCUGAGAGGGUGACCGGCCACAUUGGGACUGAGAUACGGCCCAGACUCCUACGGGAGGCAGCAGUGGGGAAUAUUGCACAAUGGGCGGAAGCCUGAUGCAGCAACGCCGCGUGCGGGAUGACAGCCUUCGGGUUGUAAACCGCUUUCGCCUGUGACGAAUCGUGAGUGACGGUAAUGGGUAAAGAAGCACCGGCUAACUACGUGCCAGCAGCCGCGGUGAUACGUAUGGCGCGAGCGUUGUCCGGAUUUAUUGUGCGUAAAAGGCUCCUAAGUGGUUGAUCGCGUCGGAAGUGUAAUCUUGGGGCUUAACCCUGAGCGUGCUUUCGAUACGGGUUGACUUGAGGAAGGUAGGGGAGAAUGGAAUUCCUGGUGGAGCGGUGGAAUGCGCAGAUAUCAGGAGGAACACCAGUGGCGAAGGCGGUUCUCUGGGCCUUUCCUGACGCUGAGGAGCGAAAGCGUGGGGAGCGAACAGGCUUAGAUACCCUGGUAGUCCACGCUGUAAACGGUGGGUACUAGGUGUGGGGUCCAUUCCACGGGUUCCGUGCCGUAGCUAACGCUUUAAGUACCCCGCCUGGGGAGUACGGCCGCAAGGCUAAAACUCAAAGGAAUUGACGGGGCCCCGCACAAGCGGCGGAGCAUGCGGAUUAAUUCGAUGCAACGCGUAGAACCUUACCUGGGUUUGACAUGGAUCGGGAGUGCUCAGAGAUGGGUGUGCCUCUUUUGGGGUCGGUUCACAGGUGGUGCAUGGCUGUCGUCAGCUCGUGUCGUGAGAUGUUGGGUUAAGUCCCGCAACGAGCGCAACCCUUGUUCACUGUUGCCAGCACGUUAUGGUGGGGACUCAGUGGAGACCGCCGGGGUCAACUCGGAGGAAGGUGGGGAUGACGUCAAGUCAUCAUGCCCCUUAUGUCCAGGGCUUCACGCAUGCUACAAUGGCUGGUACAGAGAGUGGCGAGCCUGUGAGGGUGAGCGAAUCUCGGAAAGCCGGUCUCAGUUCGGAUUGGGGUCUGCAACUCGACCUCAUGAAGUCGGAGUCGCUAGUAAUCGCAGAUCAGCAACGCUGCGGUGAAUACGUUCCCGGG
rnacentral:rRNA from 1 species